rnacentral:rRNA from 1 species
CCCUUAGAGUUUGAUCCUGGCUCAGGACGAACGCUGGCGGCGCGCCUAACACAUGCAAGUCGAACGAGAGAGAGGGAGCUUGCUUCCUUGAUCGAGUGGCGAACGGGUGAGUAACGCGUGAGGAACCUGCCUCAAAGAGGGGGACAACAGUUGGAAACGACUGCUAAUACCGCAUAAGCCCACGACCCGGCAUCGGGAAGAGGGAAAAGGAGCAAUCCGCUUUGAGAUGGCCUCGCGUCCGAUUAGCUAGUUGGUGAGGUAACGGCCCACCAAGGCGACGAUCGGUAGCCGGACUGAGAGGUUGAACGGCCACAUUGGGACUGAGACACGGCCCAGACUCCUACGGGAGGCAGCAGUGGGGAAUAUUGCACAAUGGGGGAAACCCUGAUGCAGCGACGCCGCGUGGAGGAAGAAGGUCUUCGGAUUGUAAACUCCUGCUGUUGAGGAAGAUAAUGACGGUACUCAACAAGGAAGGACGGCUACUCUG